AGUGAACGCUGGCGGCGUGCCUAAUACAUGCAAGUCGAACGGAGUGGCGCCCGGGUGCGUAAUGUAUAGCUAAUCUGCCCUACACUAGAGGACAACAGUUGGAAACGACUGCUCAUACUCUAUAGUGUAGGAUGAGGCUAUAUUGUAUCAGCUAGUUGGUGAGGUAUUGGCUCACCAAGGCUAUGACGCAUAACUGGUCUGAGAGGAUGAUCAGAGACAGGGGGACUGACACACGGUCCAGACUCCGACGGGGGGAAGCAGUAGGGAAUAAUGUUCAAUGGGGGGAACCCUGAAGCAGCAACGCCGCGUGGAGGAGGACACAUUCCGGAGCGUAAACUCGUUUUGGUAGGGAAGCGGUACCUAACGAAUAAGCACCGGCAUACUCCGUGCCAGCAGCCGCGGUAAUAC
rnacentral:rRNA from 1 species